CGUGGCAGCCGAGACAUGCAGCCUUCUAGGACGGAGCCUUAUUUAAAAAAAAUAAUAAUAAUAAGGACGGAGCCUUAUUUAUUUUUAUUUUAUAUAUGUAUAAUGUCCCCCUUUGUAUUUCUUAUUAUUUAAAAAAAAUAUUAAAAAUAAUUUUAAAAGGACGCAGCUGUGCGUUUGAGAAACGACCGGAAACGACUUAUAUGUCGCGAGGCCAUCACGUGACCACAAUAUUUACCAGAAGACCGUUAUUUGCUCGAGUACCCUCAACUUUUUUGUCGCAAAUAACAUUAUUAAUAACCUGUAAAUAAUAAAUUUUGUACACAUUACGUUCCUCUUCACUUUGUAAUAGUAUGUUUUUUGGUUUAAUAGUCGGCUUUAAGUUAGUUUUCCUGUCAGUUUGAUCGUCAAAAUCUUGAAAGUUAUCUGCAGCCACACAUCCACUGUAUACCAAGUUAUGAUGAACAAUUAUGAAAAUGCAAAAGGAUUGAUAGAUCAGUAAACAAGCAACAAAAAGAUGGGUGCUCAUGGUGGCCUCCAAAUAAAUACAUGGACAGGCUGCUAAAGAGGGUCAGGAUGAUGGAGAUGCAAGAGCCAAAGACAGCACAGACCAAACACCAGGCCAGAAUUCUGCAUGAGUCAGAUUGAGUAAUUUUCACUCUAGAGACCCUUGGGUGACCACCAAGGACGAAUGCAAACUCCAGUGAGUGUCUCUAAGGUAGAUCCUAAUGCAGAUGGAUGGAAUGUUGAUCCGCCUAACAUGCAAGCUACAGAGGGCAUCCUUUAUUCAGUCCCUAAUGCAGAUGGUUGGAGUGUUGAUCUACCUAACAUGAGGGAGCACUCGUUUUGAGUCCUGAGACCCUGGGGUGACCACCGUGAACAAAUACAGAAGCACUCAAUUUGAGUCCUGAGACCCUGGGGUGACCACCGUGAACAAAUACAGACUGCAAUAGCAGUCUUGACGGUACUAGGAUGAAUGCAAAUAAAGACUAACCACCUGACAUCAGCUGUCCAGUCUCUUGUGGGAAGCAGGUGCUUGUUACCCCAAAUACGGAUGAAGAGUGACGAAGAGGAUGAUGACUUU